GAUGAACGCUGGCGGCGUGCCUAAUACAUGCAAGUCGAGCGAACAGACGAGGAGCUUGCUCCUCUGACGUUAGCGGCGGACGGGUGAGUAACACGUGGAUAACCUACCUAUAAGACUGGGAUAACUUCGGGAAACCGGAGCUAAUACCGGAUAAUAUAUUGAACCGCAUGGUUCAAUAGUGAAAGACGGUUUUGCUGUCACUUAUAGAUGGAUCCGCGCCGCAUUAGCUAGUUGGUAAGGUAACGGCUUACCAAGGCGACGAUGCGUAGCCGACCUGAGAGGGUGAUCGGCCACAUUGGAACUGAGACACGGUCCAGACUCCUACGGGAGGCAGCAGUAGGGAAUCUUCCGCAAUGGGCGAAAGCCUGACGGAGCAACGCCGAGUGAGUGAUGAAGGUCUUCGGAUCGUAAAACUCUGUUAUUAGGGAAGAACAAAUGUGUAAGUAACUAUGCACGUCUUGACGGUACCUAAUCAGAAAGCCACGGCUAACUACGUG
rnacentral:rRNA from 1 species